rnacentral:rRNA from 1 species
UACGUAGGUGGCAAGCGUUGUCCGGAAUUAUUGGGCGUAAAGCGCGCGCAGGCGGUCCUUUAAGUCUGAUGUGAAAGCCCACGGCUCAACCGUGGAGGGUCAUUGGAAACUGGGGGACUUGAGUACAGGAGAGAAGAGUGGAAUUCCACGUGUAGCGGUGAAAUGCGUAGAGAUGUGGAGGAACACCAGUGGCGAAGGCGACUCUUUGGCCUGUAACUGACGCUGAGGCGCGAAAAGCGUGGGGAGCAAACAGG